rnacentral:rRNA from 1 species
UACGUAGGGGGCAAGCGUUGUCCGGAAUCAUUGGGCGUAAAGCGCGCGGUAGGGCGGCCCUGUAAGUCCGUUGUGAAAGUCAAAGGCUCAACCUUUGAAAGCCGAUGGAUACUGCAGGGCUAGAGUCCGGAAGAGGCGAGUGGAAUUCCUGGUGUAGCGGUGGAAUGCGCAGAUAUCAGGAGGAACACCAAUAGCGAAGGCAGCUCGCUGGGACGUUAACUGACGCUGAGACGCGAAAGCGUGGGGAGCAAACAGG